CCGAGUGAGGGCCUCCGGCCCGACCUCCAACCCUUUGUUGACCAACACCUGUUGCCUCGGGGGCGACCCGGCCUCCGCGCCGGGGCCCCCGAUGGACCAAUCAACUCUGUAUCUGUACGUCGGAGUAAAUGCAAAUCAAUUA
rnacentral:misc_RNA from 1 species